rnacentral:rRNA from 1 species
AUUGAACGCUGGCGGCAUGCCUUACACAUGCAAGUCGAACGGUAACAGGUCUUCGGAUGCUGACGAGUGGCGAACGGGUGAGUAAUACAUCGGAACGUGCCCGAUCGUGGGGGAUAACGAAGCGAAAGCUUUGCUAAUACCGCAUAAGAUCUACGGAUGAAAGCAGGGGACCGCAAGGCCUUGCGCGAACGGAGCGGCCGAUGGCAGAUUAGGUAGUUGGUGGGAUAAAAGCUUACCAAGCCGGCGAUCUGUAGCUGGUCUGAGAGGACGACCAGCCACACUGGGACGGAGACGCGGCCCAGACUCCUACGGGAGGCAGCAGUGGGGAAUUUUGGACAAUGGGCGAAAGCCUGAUCCAGCCAUGCCGCGUGCAGGAUGAAGGCCUUCGGGUUGUAAACUGCUUUUGUACGGAACGAAAAGACUCUUUCUAAUAAAGAGGGUCCAUGACGGUACCGUAAGAAUAAGCACCGGCUAACUACGUGCCAGCAGCCGCCGUAACAC